rnacentral:tRNA from 1 species
GCCUGGGUGGCUCAGUGGUUGAGCAUCUGUCUUCAGCUCAGGGUAUGAACUCCGGGUCCUGGGAUCGAGUCCCACAUCAGGCU